rnacentral:lncRNA from 1 species
CCCUAUAAAUGAAGGUAAUAGAAGACUCCCAGGAGGUACGUCUAUUCCAAGACUCAGAGCUCAAAACUCUGCCUCACUCGCUACUCUAUCUCUUGAGCUGAAAACUGACUUGAGCAUCGAAGUGUCUUCGCUGGAGCCAUCUUCGGUGUAGGCUUUUCUUACAGGUCUCUUCGCUGCCGUCGGACGCUGUCGGCCGAUCUUUUCGUCU